GCGGGAGUCCGCCGACCGAAUGGCUAAAGUGAAGCGGCUGGGGGGUGAGGUUACCCAGCUGAGGGCUGAAGGGAGUACCGCUGCGGCCGCCGCCGUUGAGGCGUUCAAGCAGUCGGCGGAGUUUAAGAAGGCAAUGACCGAGUCGGCGAAGGCUGGGGCCCGAGCAAAUAUAGACAUGCUGAAGCGGAAGGGCGCCAUUGACUUCGCCAAAGCGUCACAGCCUGACGCGCCGCCGGCUGAGAGUAUCCCGCCGGAGACAGACGUGCCUGCCCCAGCCGGAGGUGCCUGCUCGGGCAGC
rnacentral:lncRNA from 1 species